UACGUAGGGUGCAAGCGUUGUCCGGAAUUAUUGGGCGUAAAGAGCUCGUAGGCGGUGUGUCGCGUCGGCCGUGAAAACCUGCAGCUUAACUGUGGGCUUGCGGUCGAUACGGGCAUCACUGGAGUUCGGCAGGGGAGACUGGAAUUCCUGGUGUAGCGGUGAAAUGCGCAGAUAUCAGGAGGAACACCGGUGGCGAAGGCGGGUCUCUGGGCCGAUACUGACGCUGAGGAGCGAAAGCGUGGGGAGCGAACAGGAUUAGAAACCCU
rnacentral:rRNA from 1 species